UACGUAGGGGGCAAGCGUUGUCCGGAAUUAUUGGGCGUAAAGAGCGUGUAGGCGGUCCGGUAAGUCAGCUGUGAAAGUCAAGGGCUCAACCCUUGAAUGCCGGUUGAUACUGUCGGGCUAGAGUCCGGAAGAGGCGAGUGGAAUUCCCGGUGUAGCGGUGAAAUGCGCAGAUAUCGGGAGGAACACCAAUGGCGAAGGCAGCUCGCUGGGACGGUACUGACGCUGAGAAGCGAAAGCGUGGGGAGCGAACAGG
rnacentral:rRNA from 1 species